rnacentral:lncRNA from 1 species
AUGCUGUCUGGCCGGUGUGGAGAGCUGAUGGGGCUGAGCCUCAGUGGAAUCACUGGAGAGGUUGCUCUUCUCUCCUCCCUGCACCAGGAUGCCCACUUCCGGCCGCCCGUGUCUCCCUCUCCUCUCAUGCCGCCUGGUCGUAACCAGACACGUCCUCGUCUACAAAAAGCCUUCCGUGUCCCACCUCGUCUGAUUGAUGAUCGAGCUUUCCACUUUAUUUUGCUACAUUUCACGAUAACUUAUUCUUCCCAAAUUACUUAGAAGUAUAUAUUUUGUUGAUUUUUAAAGAAAUACCAACAAGUAUCCCCUUGCCCAGUGCACACAUAUGUUUGAACAUAAAUGGAAAUAAAAUGCAUAUUAUAAUCUGGAGGGUCGUGAUCUAUUUUCAGCUUUUUUUUCUGAAUAAUUUAAUUUUACACCGCAUCUUUAGCAACUCGUUUUUCAGAAUCUGUAUAAAAGGAUUCAGGAUUUUCUGAUAUUAAGGUAGAGGGCUGCCUAACACUUGAGAGGAUUAUUGUUUGCCAGCAUGGCAAUCUGGCCUUGCAAUGCUGUUUGGUGUGAAUCCUUAUGGUUUGUGAGACCCUUCUUUAUUUUAUGGUUAAUCGUAAAAGCCAUCACUAGACGGUUAGACAAAGUCAGCGGACAUCAAGGACUUCUCAGGCCUUGGUCUAUGGUUGCUCAUAUUUCAGUAAAUGGAAACAAAGGUCCUCUUUUAGAACCCUGUUUUGAAAGUUACAAAGCAAAUAAUGCAGAACAUUAUUCCACAUAAGAACUGUGAUGGGUUCUAAUGCUUUUAUCCAUAGACUUUCUUUGAAGACAAAAAAAAAAAAGAGGAUAUUUUCACUAUUGAACCUGUUCAUUUCAUAGUACAGAGAGGAUUCUGCUUUACCCAGAAAUGAAGCUUAAGUCUGUUCACAUGGGAAGAACCAAGUCUUGUCUUUCCAUUCAUUGUUAAAGAAAUUUAUUCUGGUGUCUUUUAAAUUUUUUUCUUGUGAAUUAUCCCCUCCCCCCAUUUUGCCUUAUAAGAAAUUUGUCCUAAAAGAAUUAAGGUGUGUUAUGUACAUGUACCAAUGCUUAACAAUGAGUACAAUCAUUAUGUGCCAAUAAAAAUGUAAUCCGGUAAAAGAAGAUAAGAAAUUUGUCUUUUGGGGCCUUGCAAACUCAUCCUGAUGGGAACUUAGCUCCCUCAUCAGCUGGCAAACGAUUUUUUUUGUAGUUCCUCUGCAGGGGUCUGGAUGAUUGCGCAGGAAGCAAGAUGCUGCGUUUCUGGGGAGGCUUUAACUCCCUGGCCUCUCAUCUGCUUGCUGAACGCCUUCCGGGAGCCAGUGCCCCAACUCUCCAGGGGUUUGCGGGCAGCCAGUGCAGACCAACCUUGAAUUAGUCAAAGGCUCUAAUUUGACGGGAACAUUCUCUCCAAUUCCUCCUCCUCCCCUUCCUUCUUUUUGCUUUAUUUUUAUUUAUUUAUUUUUUGAGCCAGACUCUCACUGUGUAGUUCAGGUUGGCCUUGAACUCCCAGUGACCUUCCUGCCUCAGCCUGCCAAAUGCUGGGGUUACACGUGUGCACC